AACAGUGCCUAUUUUUGUUCAUGGCUUCAGGAAGCCUUGGCUUAGGAUUUUACUAUGUGCACGAGCCUGGCCCAGACGGUUUUGGUCCUAGUUGUACCAGCUACCUCACAGACUGGGUAGGUGCCUAGAAUUAUACUGCCCAUACUCCAAAACAGCUAGCUCAAGGUUAUUGAACACCAAUGGUAUUACUAGUUUAGCUGGUUGUUGCUGCUCAGGCUGAGGUUGCUCCAUCUAUAUGUGAUAAGGGGAAGAAAAGUUUGAGCAAUUUGGGAGGCUUAAGCCUCUAGAGUUUAGAGGCAAGGAGACAGAAGAUUCUUUGGAUUACCUAGACCGGUGCAUCCGAUUCUUUGUGCAACGGGUAUUUUGGACACUAGCGGAAGCUUAUGAGUUUAUAAGGCUAGUUGGAGCAACACCACUAACAUAACAUGAGU
rnacentral:lncRNA from 1 species